GCUCGGUGACAUCACUUCCGGGGCGGAGACCUAAGAAGCGGUACAAACAAAACAAGGAGCCAAAGACCCACGGCGCGACUGGCUGUGGGUAGCCAGACCCAGGACUAGGGCUGCCUGCGUGGCGGCCGAGAACAGCGGGCCUUGGGCUAACAUUCUCUGGAUGGCACCUCUGUCUCCUGCCAGGAAACACGCCCUCUGCUUCCUGCCUGGAUCUCUCUCACCACUGUUCCUGCUCUAGGGACACUUACCCAUGUUCUCUUACUCCUCUAGAACCCUCCACUGACCCCUUUGGUCUGGGUGUAAGUUUGGUCCCUGAAUCCCCAGCAGGGUCUGGCUUCCAGACUGCAGAAUUUGCCAUGGGGACUCCUCAUGACAGCCAAGGUCUGUGGGGCAGGCAUCAUGCCCAGUAGUUUCUGUUGCCCUGUCUACAGCCUCAGACAGCACUUUCAUUAGCACCAAUUGGAGGCUGGUACCUCAGAGUCCCACAAGAACCUGCUGAGAGCAGCACUCGCUGUCUUCCAGUGUCACGGCAUCCGUGGGGUUUGAGGGAUGUCAGGACCCUGGAGAGAUGGCCGGGGCAGCCUCAGCAAGGACAGCCACAUGCAGCUAGAGAGCAGUCAUCUAGGGGUAAGGGUUGCUCAGCCUCACCGGAGGCAAAGGCCAGAAGCCCGGUCUUCUCUGUCCCAUGCAGUGACAGAUGAUGCUCUGCAGUGCACCAGGCAGUGGAGUGCUAUCUGUCAGCUAUGUUUUCAGUCUAGGGCUUUGAAACUAGGUAACAGUUUUGUUGCCCUCAUCUCAGACCUAUCAGUGUGUGUUGCUGAAGGCUGCUGUUGAAGCACUGGUAAACAGCCUCUGCUCCUGCUGGUCAGAAAGUUCUGCUACGAUGGGUUUGUUGCUGUUUUCUUUUUUCUUUUUUUUUUUUUUUCUUUUUUUCAGUUUUGUGAGACAGGCAGGGCUUUCCUCAGGGUAGCGCUCAGGGUGGCCUGGAUCUAGCUUCCCACACAGCGGCUAUGUGCUGGGAUCGCAGGCACUUCACUGAUUUACAGUGUCGCCUUGUGCUGCAGGGCUUCUUGUGCUUUGGGUGCACGGGCCUCGAGUGUGAGAAGAAGCUGGCAAGGCGGGAAGCCUCACGAGCACUUGGUGGCGUGCAUGUGUGGAGGCCAGGGACCUUUGCUGCACUUGGAAAGGGGACCCAAGUCAGAAAGUGAACAAUUUCAGUCUCGGUGUCUAUUCAGACCUGGGUAGAGUCACAGUUGCUACAUGCUCAAUUACCAGCACUGGAGUUCUCUAAAAUUCAGCUUAAACAUCUUUUCUUUAUUUUCCAAAAGGGAUCUUUUAGGUUGUCAUAUUUGUUUGUUUGUUCGUUUGUUUGUUUAUUGAGCUGAUCACACCAUGUAGCCCUGGCUCACCUUGCACUCACAGAGACCCAGUUGCUCAGGCCCCACAUGCUGGGAUUAAAGCCUGGCCCAGCAAGCCCAGCACAUCCUCAUCUUUCUAGAGCAUAAGCUUGGCACCCAGCUCCCUUUAGGAUGUUUUGAGAAUACACUUCUGUAGGAGAGGCACUUACAGUGCUCGCCCAGGCUCCAAACCCAGAACUCUGACGGAGCAAAACUUAAUUCUCUGGGGCCAGCAAAAAGGGGAGGAAAACACACACACAUACACACACACACACACACACACACACAAACACACACACUUGUGGAUGAAGCAAGGCUCCAACAACUUUAUUUUUCCCCUUACAGCUUAUACAUCCCAGCAAAAUCCUACAAGCAAUAUAAAAAUUACAAUGUGGUUACAUUCUA